rnacentral:rRNA from 1 species
GUGCCAGACUCCUACGGGAGGCAGCAGUGGGGAAUAUUGCACAAUGGGGGAAACCCUGAUGCAGCGACGCCGCGUGAGUGAAGAAGUAAUUCGUUAUGUAAAGCUCUAUCAGCAGGGAAGAAAAUGACGGUACCUGAGUAAGAAGCCCCGGCUAACUACGUGCCAGCAGCCACGGUAAUACGUAGGGGGCGAGCGUUAUCCGGAUUCACUGGGUGUAAAGGGAGCGUAGACGGCCAUGCAAGCCAGGGGUGAAAGCCCGGGGCCCAACCCCGGGACUGCCCUUGGAACUGUGCGGCUAGAGUGCGGGAGGGGCAGGCGGAAUUCCUGGUGUAGCGGUGAAAUGCGUAGAUAUCAGGAGGAACACCGGCGGCGAAGGCGGCCUGCUGGACCGCGACUGACGUUGAGGCUCGAAAGCGUGGGGAGCGAACAGGAUUAGAUACCCUAGUACAG